AUCCCCCAUCUCCCAAAAACGACGCCCCCACCCUCUCACACUCUCUGCCACGCCCAAACCACCACGACCUCACCGGAAUCACGUUCCCAUGGUCCCCUCCUCUUUUCUCUGCUUCUUCCACGACACUCAAAUCGUACAAGCCUCAUCAUAUCAAUAAGAUUCACGCGUUUUGCCUUUCUUUUUCGUUUUUUAAGCAAAUCCGAGGCCUUAUGAUAAAAGAUUGGAAAAUGGGAGCCGUUGGAUCAAAGUCUUGAUCCAAGAUCUCCAUUUUUUUAUUUUUUGUUUACAAAAGGAUUUUUUCGAAUUUUUGUUUUGGGGGUCCACACGGUUUUGGGCGUUACUUGGAGAAGAGGAGAAGAAGAUUCGAGAGGGGCUAUAUAUUUAGGGAUUUUCGGACAGAAAGGAAAAAAACAAUUUAAGAGAAUUAAGGGUUGAUUCUUAGCUUCUUCUGUUUUGUGUUUUUCUCGGUUUUCUCUUGGAUUCAGAACAAAAAACGCUAAAAAAUUCAGUUCUUUUUAUUUUCUCAAUUUUUGCUUCAGAUUCUUUAACAAAAAAAAAUACUACACUUCCUUUUCUGAUUUUCGUUCGAAGAUGGCGGUCAUUUGAGUUUUGGUUUUAAUUCGAGGUCGCUCGAGUCGUCGAUUGCUUGCCAAUUGAGGUCUGUUCGAAAUCGCGAGUUCCUAUUCCUUGGAUGUUGUUUGUCAUGGAUUUUCACUGCCAGAUUUAGUUGUAUUUGAUUGCGAGCAGAAUUAGUUAAGAGCGCUUUCAGGUUCAUCUCUUUUCUCUUCUGUAUUUUCUGUGUUGUUGAUCUAAAUAUGAUGAUAGCCAUUAGGAGAUGAGCUAAGCUUACUGUGAUGGUUGAGGAUUAUUAAUUGAUUUCUAAUUAGUAUAUUCACCUUUGGUAAUUGUUUCUUCUAAUUAAAUCUUGGAGUUGGAAGAUAGAUGAAGUUUGCUUGGAUUUGGAUUCUUGUACCGCUAGUGUGCCAAGUUUGUGUUUGAGCUAUCUUAAUAUGACAUGCUUACUAGCUUCUUUUGGAAUAGGAUUAUGUGAAUAAAAUCUUCAAUCAAACUUUUGUGAGCUUUAUAAGUAAAAUGAACUGAUCGUAUUUGCUUCAAAAUUAUUAAUAUACUACUACUUUGAUCUUCCGGUCUAUUAAAAGUGAAGUUAAAUAUUUCGGUUUUUUUGUUUUGUUUCUUUAAAGGGUAGAAAUCAGUUAUUGUUUGAAUAGGUCAAAUGCUUUUCUUCUAAAAAUAAUAAUAAAUGGAGUUCUGUUGCAUGUCACCUUAGUAAUUUCAAGGGCAUUUGACGUUAUUUUUGUUUGGUAGCGAGUUUAUCACCAACCUUGUUAAAUUCAAGCUAUGUGAAGUAGAUUCUGAAACGAGAUUAAUUGACUCCCAAUUUAUAGUGAAUGUGCUUUGUUAGUUCCAACUCUCCACUGUAAUUUAGUCACAUGUCCUAAGUUUGAGGAAAUAUGAUUAAGUCACUUCAUUUUAGUCCGCGUGAAGUGCUAAACCAAAACAAAUAGAUUGCUGGUUAUGACUAAGUUAUAUCUGAUUGUCAUAUAAGGUGAUAGAGGAUUAAUGUAUGGCCCAUGAUGUGCAUGUCUUCUGUUCGUAGUUUAAGGCUAUAUUUUCGGUGUGAAACCCGGCUAGUUUGGCGAACUUAUUGGGCAAUAAAUCAAUCUUGUUCGGUUUUCGGAUGUUUUGUGACUUUACUUACUAAAUAAAUCACCAGUGUUAAUCAUUCACCUUUGCAUUUAUUAGCCACCCAGUCUCUUUCUCAAAUGUUCAUUUUUGCUUUGGAUACUUAUUCAGGAUACUUUAUUUAGUUGGUAAUUGAUUCUGUUGGACAUGAAAUUGUUUGGAUAACUAUUGGGUCGUGGGAAUUGGGAGAAUGACCAAAGCCCAUUAGUAAUUAAUCACUCUCAUGCCUUAGGAUUGGGCUUGGUCAAAUGCAUGAAAUAAGAAGUUAAAGGAAAAUGAGCAUGAUUUAGAUUUUGCUUUUACUUAGUUUUCUUUAUUUAUUUUGCUAUAUUGACCGCUAGUAGCAUGUUUAGGCCGACAAAAUUUGGGUAGGCAAGCCUUAGGAUUUUUUUUAGUUUUGAGGCGAGAGGUCGUUCCCUUAGUUAAAUUUAUCCGGUGAAUGCCCCGAAGGAUUUGUAUAUAUUUUAUCCGGGAUAUGCCCCGAGGUAUUUGUAUUUGGAAGUUGAGAGCAAAACUCGUAGUACUUUUAUUCUUGUUUUAUUUUAUUAGGUGGGGACGACCUCGAGCCUCUUUUGAUUGUUUAUUUUCGUUUUGUGUGCUUUUACCUCAAUUAGAAUAUCCUUUAAGCCAACUAGAUCGGGUAUGUAACCGUACUAGUUACGGGACUUAGGGAGUGCCUAACACCUUCUCCCCGAGUCAAAUGAACUCCCUUACCCAAAUCUCUAGUG
rnacentral:lncRNA from 1 species